rnacentral:pre_miRNA from 1 species
AGUAUAAUUGUUGUGUCAUAUAUUAAGUUUAACUUUUUAAGAAACUGCCAAAUUGUUUUCCAAAGCAGCUGCACUAUUUCAUAUUGUACCUGCAAU